rnacentral:lncRNA from 1 species
AGAAUUCUGCCUCCAGAUUGCUUUACAACUUGCACUGGAACAUCAGCUGUUCUCUAGGUCUCAAGUCUGCUGCUCUAACCUACAAAUUUUGGACAUGCCAAUCUCCACAGUCACAUGGGCCAAUUCCUUAGUUUCUCUGGAGAAUCCUGACUAAUGUAUGCAAUGUCUUUAUUUCAUCCUCAUUCUUAAAGGAUAUUUUCAUCAGCAACACCACACCCUCCUGAUCACCAUAGCUUUAUGUUUCUUACAGCAACAACAAGAAACAAAUUUAUUAGCUAACCUAACCACUAAUGAGGCAAGUGGCAAUUCUAAGGACUUUCAAAACAGCAAAGUAGGAGCAGCUGCUACCUCUAGGGAUGUGGGAGGAACUCAAAAAUGGGUACAAAAACCAUUGCAGGAAAAGUGACUGGGUAUGUGCAUAGCAUCAGGAGAUGUGCAUAGUGUCAAAGUAUCUCAUCACACAUUACUUGAUAAUUACAAAGGAGAAAAGUGAACCUUCACAGUGGCAAGACUUGACUUCUACCUCUUUCAAAGAGAAGCAAUUGUCCAAUUAUUAGUGAAAUUGUCAUUUCAUGCUAUCGGCUAUUUGAAAUUCCUCCUCUAAUUUCAGAUUAACUCACUGAAAUUGACAUCGGCCAGUCUGAAUUUCAAGAAAUUACCUGCUGGAGACAAGAGGGAUCUCUUCUUCAGAUUUGCAGUCUGGGGAAGACAGCCUCUAUUGUACUUUAGAACCUGAGAUAUGGUGGUGGAGGGAGCCCUGGGUCAGUAGGAGUGGGGUCGGAGUGGUAAGAUUCACCCUUAGGUUAGUAUUGACGUAAGGUGACGAGGAGCUGUAGACAAAAGAUUGUAACCAUAAGAACUUCAUAGUUUUUGUAUUUUCACUGAGUUUAUAUUUGGUGUGUUUUUUGUCUUUUCUUUAUGAUUAUCAAUAAAACGCUUGAAACGAGAUGAGUUUGGGGAAUAAUUUUUGGGAAUACCACAAAAGACACUUUUGUGAUGGAAAUCCUUAAAAACACACAAUCCAUUACCUCAUUGGGUUCAAAAGGCAAUUGUGAACUACUGUGGAGUUUGGAAAGAAGCAAUGAGGUAAUCAAGGAUACUGUUGAAAAUCUAGCUUAUCCUAUGGAUGGAAGGAAAUUGAAACUAAUGGAGGGGAGGCUGGUAAAACAAUAGGGUUUGAGACAAUUCUGUGGCAUUAGAAAUGAAAGAGGAAGGUGAAUCCAGGAGACGGAGCUUGCAGUAAGCUGAGAUCGCGCCACUGCACUCCAGCCUGGGCGACAGAGCAAGACUCCAUAU